rnacentral:rRNA from 1 species
UUUCACCUACGGGGGGCAGCAGUGGGGGGUAUUGCACAAUGGGGGAAACCCUGAUGCAGCGACGCCGCGUGGGCGAAGAAGUAUUUCGGUAUGUAAAGCCCUAUCAGCAGGGAAGAAGAAAUGACGGUACCUGAGUAAGAAGCACCGGCUAAAUACGUGCCAGCAGCCGCGGUAAUACGUAGGGGGCAAGCGUUAUCCGGAUUUACUGGGUGUAAAGGGAGCGUAGGCGGUUUAGCAAGUCAGAAGUGAAAGCCCGGGGCUCAACUCCGGGACUGCUUUUGAAACUGUUGAACUAGAUUGCAGGG